UAGCCAUGAUGUGGACAAGAAUUCAAAUGAUCUUUGAAUCUCUCCCAAUAUUGAAAGAAGGUCUCUUCCUCUUUAUGGUAGAAAUUCAUGAUCGCCCUUCUCCUCCA